CCCAGCCUGGGAAGUUGUAGAGGCCAGAUUCAAACCAGGCCGUUAGUCUGACUGGAACUGGAGAAACUUCCUCGCUCGACCAUCAGGCCACGAUGCCGCUCCGCAUGAAGAUCUAGGAGCUUGAUCCUUGACGGGCUUCAUCAUUCUUUCUGCAAGACCACACCCUUCUCAAUCAGACGCAGGACGUCCCUGCCAGCCACAGGUCCAGUCCUAGAGUGAUGAGGUUCCGGGACAUGGACGUGUCUUCUGGAGAGCCACCACUCAACCCACUACAGCCCCCCAAAUGACACCUCCAGAGACAGUCACCGCUC